UUUGGGGGGGUUCCUGUUAUUUUUGGGUGAAAGGAGGAGCGUGGGGGGCUCCAGAGGAGGUUUUGGUGUGAAUCAAGGAGUGUUAAGAGCAAGGGGGGGCUCUGCCUUAAUCCCCCCCCCCUGCCGGGGACUGCUGGAGGGGACACUGAGGACAUGGCAGGUCCUGGCUGGGGGAGAAGCCCCCUGGCUCCUUGUACCACGGGGGGGUCCCAGCAGUCACCGUGGGACACACAUUGGGAUGCUCCAGGCUGGAAAUACCCCGAGGGGGGGUUGGAAAAGGCCCCCCCCAAGUCCUCAUUGGGGCUCACAGAACUGCUGGGAUUUGGGGAGACAACCCUGGGAUGAGGAGAAAUAAGGGCCACUGGAGAGAAUAAAGAAGAAGAUGGUGCCUGGGAAGGUUUUUCCUCAAGAAAGAUUGAUCCAGGGAAGGUUCUUCCCAAAAAAGAUGGAGCUUGGGAAGGUUUUUCCCCAGAAAGAUGGUGCCUGGGAAGGUUCUUCCCAAGAAAGAUUGAUCCAGGGAAGGUUCUUCCCAAGAAAGAUUGAUCCAGGGAAGGUUCUUCCCAAGAAAGAUUGAUCCAGGGAAGGUUCUUCCCAAGAAAGAUUGAUCCAGGGAAGGUUCUUCCCAAGAAAGAUUGAUCCAGGGAAGGUUCUUCCCAAGAAAGAUUGAUCCAGGGAAGGUUCUUCCCAAGAAAGAUUGAUCCAGGGAAGGUUCUUCCCAAGAAAGAUUGAUCCAGGGAAGGUUCUUCCCAAGAAAGAUGGAUCCAGGGAAGGUUUUUCCCCAGAAAGAUGGAGCCUGGGAAGGUUUUUCCCCAGAAAGAUUGAUCCAGGGAAGGUUUUUCCUCAAGAAAGAUGGAUCCAGGGAAGGUUCUUCCCCAAGAAAGAUGGAUCCAGGGAAGGUUCUUCCCCAAGAAAGAUUGAUCCAGGGAAGGUUCUUCCUAAAAAAAGAUGGAGCUUGGGAAGGUUUUUCCCCAGAAAGAUGGUGCCUGGGAAGGUUUUUCCCAAAAAAGGAUGAUGCCUGGGAAGGUUUUUCCCAAGAAAACAUGGGAAGAUUCCCCGAAAAAGCCGCUGGAACCAGGCUCCGUGAUCUCUUUAUCUCCGUCUUUUUCUCCACCUCUUCCUUUCUCCAUCCCUCGGUUUCUCGUCGAGUCGUUAAGUAACAAUUAGAGUCAUUACGUAAUGACCUUAAGUACCUCCUGCUGUAAUUCCUUUUAUACCCAACCGAUUAACGUGGCCUCGUUAAGACCUGGACUAAUCAUUUGGGAAACUAAUAAAUGUUUAUAUGUGGCCCUUGAGAUUUCUCUC
rnacentral:lncRNA from 1 species